UCCUUGACAGUCCAGUGGUUAGGACUCCAUGCCCUCACUGUGGAGGGCCGGGGUUCAAUUCCUGGUUGGGGAA
rnacentral:tRNA from 1 species